ensembl:lncRNA
UUGGAUUGUAACCUUGUGAUGUGCGAGCAAGUAUCAGUAAAGGCACAUCAAAGUUGAUUGCUCAUCGUUUUAGAAAGGUAAAACAGCAAGACCAAAUUGUUUACAAAUGGAUAAUGUGGUUGGUUCAGGCAAACUGAAGUUUAUAUUGGUUUGUAGAAAAUUCCAAAUAUUUAGUGCAAUGAUCGGGCCAGAGUUUUACUUUGACCAAUACUUUGCUUUAGAAACAAACUAGUUCACCGUAUCUGGCCGUGCUAAAAAAACAAAACUAAGACUCGUUGCCCACUUCUGCUUGACACUGUGCUGCAGCCCCCCUCAAAUCCAGCCUCUUGUUCUUCAAUUCUGUAAAGCAAACGAGUAAAAUCCACACACCUUGCCGCAAGUAGAGACAUAUUUGUCCGUGAACUCGUUGACGGUGAUGUUGACCCCGGCGUUGAGCAUGGCUUUCUGCAGGACGGGGCUGCUCAUCCACUUCCCUCUUACGUGAGAAAGACCCUUUGUUUGUUCCGACUGCAACAUGCACUGAUUACCCUGUGAAAUGUGACAGUCGAGCUACGUUGUCUGAUUUAUUCCUCUGUUGUGUGUACUUUUUUUGUGCUUUUUGGUCAAUACCUGGAUGGUGAUGCUGAGGUCGAUGAGUGCCCCGUUGAUGGUGAAAAGAGCCGAGUCUUGGCCCAAUGGCCUGAGCUCCCAGCUCUGGAAGGGAAGGUUAGCAUAAGUAUCCUGCAUCAGCACAAAAGCAUGGAAGGCAUCCAUGUUGAAGGAGAUUUUGUCCUCGGCCUCCUCGUAAGACACGUCGGUGAUCCCGUCCAUCCUCCACUGAUCCGCUGGUUGAAAAACCAUCUUGCAUUAGUUUCUUUGGCUGUAGAGAAUGUUAUAUAUAGAAUGUGCUGCUGCGUGUCCUACCUGCAGCAUCCCAGCGAGCCACUUUGGGAGUUUCCAAGAAGACGACCCAGUCGGGCAGUGACUUGUGGCGGGAGGUGAAACAGGUCAUAGUGGAAGACGCCACCCAGAGGUGUGUACUGCAUUAAGUCCACCACUUGGACACGCUCACCGCAGUCAAUCGUUGUCUGCGGCAGUGGAGAAGUCAACUCCCCUUCAGCUGAAGAGGGGGGGGGGGGGAAAGGAUUCCACUUUUAAAACAGCUAUUGAUGUAUCUUGAUCUACAUUAGAAAACAAUAACUCUGAUUUAGUUGUGUUGUGGCAUUAGUCCAUGAAUCAAAAGAUGUAUCAAUCAUUUUGACUGACGACAGGUCUACAUUCGUUUAAGCUUUGAGUGUCAUGAAGCGUCUGUUGGGGCAUCCUACCGUUGAGUGCCUCCAUCUGGGUCUGUAUCUGGCUGCUUCGGCCUUCCGCAGGCUCAGCACUGCUUUCCCUCGACUGCACACUGGCUGCGCUCUUGAGAGCAUUAUUCAUAAUCGCUCCACCAGAUAGGUACCUGUGGCCAGGUGUGUGCAUUCUCGGGUGAGCCAUCCUGGCCAGCAGCGACAGGUGGUCAUAACGCGUGUGGAGGAUCCGUACAGCGACGUCUCUCACAGCCAGCUGCUUGGGAAGCUUAAAGUCCAGGCCAGCCUCUUUAAAGUUGAAACCUUUAAACCUAAAUGAGCCCGUUAGAAAGAAAGAAAGGGUCCUACAUAAUUGCGCUUCAUGGUGAAUAACAACAUAAUAAAUAUAGUGUUGUGAGCUAAUGGAAGAGAAACCUCUCUGAUUUAUAUAUAUUUUUUGGUCCACAAACCUUGGACUCUUCCUGAGGUUGGCCCACAGACAGAGUGUAAUGUUUUCAUCUUUGACCACCGUCUGCAUGUUGCCUGUCUCGGUGUCAACGUUUUCACUGGCCUCCUAUGACCAGGGAGACGAAAAGGACAAAAAGCAGGGAUGGUUCCAAAAGCUGAUAAUUCAUUGUCCCUUGUAAAACACACACAAAAAAGAUCUCACAGGCUGAACUACAAUCCGUGUACCUUGAGGAUCUCCUCAUUGGUGAGGAGGUGUUUAGCGUGGAUUAGCUCCAGCAAUUCUAGAAGACUCUCCUGGUAGUACUGGCCCCUUCGUGGAUCCGUAAUGUCUCUGAGCACAAGCUCCACUUCCUCCAGCAGCUAUUAGAAACAGCUGUAAUGUAUUUCUUACAUAUAUUUGUUUAAACUUACUGUAAGGGUCAUCACUUUGUAUAAAAUGUGUAUUGCAUUGAAUUCAAAGUGAAUUGAAUCAUGUCAAGGGGCAGCUGUUUUAUGAUGUGUUAAUGCAAAUAAAGUGAUUAAUUUGGAGGAACAAUAGUGUUUAUUAUAAAAAUGGACUUUGAUCUUAACACACAAAAAAUGUCACUGAACAUGAGCGGAAGUCCUGUUUCUCCAUUUUGUAUUGCAGUUUUUGUUUAGGAAUCCUUAAGCAGCAAAUACUGGGUCUUAAUAUUUGAUAAACUAGUUCAAUGAUCAGUUAUUUAUCUACUAACAGACCUGUAGGGCGAGGUUGCAUUGCUUGAGCACGAGUGUGAUGUCGACUUCUGGGUCAUCUCUCCAUGAGCUGAUGUAUCUGUUAACAUCCUGCAGUACUGUUGGGUCUGGGAGAGCGCCACAAUUCAUGUAUCUCUCCCACUAGACACAAACGGCAUCAUGUGCGUUAUUUUUGGCCAGAAAUAGUUUUUCUAAAAAAAAAAAAAUUUUUAAACAUUGUAUAUUAAUCACAAAUGUGUCGUCUGCUCAGGAAAAAACUAAAGCCCUGAGAGGCAAAAUUUGUGCUGUGUUGAAUAUUUUCACAUGGAACACAAACCUCCGCUUUCUCCACAGCAUCGGUUUUCCAUUUGAUUGCUGCAGUUUGAUUGUUCUCCAAUAGACGGCGGAGUUGGUCCAGCUCGUGUCCUCUGCGCUCUCGGUCCUAACGGCAAAAGCAUUCAGUGAAGAACUCAUCUCAACAAUAGUCCAUAGGGACGUCUUACCUUUGACUCAAGCCUUUCUAGCUCCUUCUGCUUUCUCUCUCUUUCCAAUCGUAUGUGCUCUUCUUUCUCAGCCUGCAGCCGCACUUCCUCUGUAAAGUAAAAUAAUACAUGUGUGUGCACUGCAGUAUUCGCUUCUAUUAUCCAUAUUAUACAAAUCUAUCAGAUAGUCAUUUGCAUCAGCCUCCUGCAGUGUACGGCAUAAAUGUAAAUGCCUCUUUUUGGCGAAGUUUAGAUUCAAAACACAUAUAGCUGGAUUACCUUCCUCUCGCAGCCUCUUCUCGUCCUCAUCCUGCUGCCUCUUAGCCCUCUGAGUCGUUGUCAGUUUACGACCCUUUGACUUGAAAUCGACAAAUACAAAAUGACCGAUCCGUGUUUCACAAGGAUAUACCAAUAAUAUGUGUUGGAAAAGGUGAGUUGCUGAGGAGACGGUUGGCAUAAACACAGUGUCCUAACAUGUGUGAUGGUGGUGAUUGUUGUAGGAGCGGGAUAAUAUAUGUUCUUCAUGCCUGGCUGCAUCUACGUCAUGCAUCUGUAUACAACUAAAGUACGUUAUUCAGAGUGAUGGGAUACUAAAACUGCAUGUGCUGACUGACAUUUACUCAUACCUUUACUUUCUUGGGUGGCUAUUAAUCACAGCAGAAAACAUGGAAGGAAAGUUAAAGAAGGUUUAAAGACACGACAAUACAGCAGUCACAAAAAGUGCAUUAAGAUCAAGGCUUCUUCCUGUCUACAAACACAGAAUUCUAAACUAACUUGUCCAUGUUGUUUCUGCACUUUUAAUUUGCAUUCCAUUUUAUUUUUGUAUUGUUUUUAAUUAGGAAAAGUGUUGUUAUAUGUAUAGUGUUAUAUUUAUAAUAAACACUAAUUAAUACAAAUAAUGUGUUUUUCCUUGUUAAGGGCUGUUAACGUGACAAUUGUGACUAAGUAUGUAACUUUCAGCAGGUAAGUUUUUCCAACGUCUAUUUGUAGACGUUGGAAAUACGUUCACGUAUAGACCCGUUUUCAACGUGAUUUAUAAUAUCGGUGGUAAACUUACAAAUGUGGACGUAGUUCAAAGCGCAUUAAGAUCAAGGCUUCUUCCUGUCUUCGGUCUUAUUUUUGAGGAUUUGUGACAACACAUGUUAUUCUUCGGUUCAAACCAUUUGAAUAUGAGAUCGUUUAAUAACGAUUAAAUAAAUAAUUAAACAAACGGGCCAUUUUAUGUGAAAAACAAACAUUGUAAAAACUCACCAUGGUGAAAACACGAAGGGCUACGUUGUCUGGUAACCAUAGAAACGCGUGCGCAUGCGUUGUUGUCUCUUUCUAUUUGCGACAAAAAUAAACGACAUACGACUGUCCAUCCGAUCAGUCCACUGUUGACACAGAAAGGACAAAGAAGAGAAGACGUCUUCACUAUGCUCCUGUUUGUGUAAAUCCACCCAACAAAAGAACACUGGUAAAUAGGAAUGGCACUGUUUAAUAUGCGUAUUCCUAUAGUAGCUUUUGGUGAGUGUAGCAUGAGCUAAAAUGCUAACAAGCUGUGCUUCAGCUAAGUUAACGUUAGCUGACGUUGAUUCCAGGGUGAGCUGGUUUGGUGUCGUUAGAAUCAUUAGGAUUCAGGGAGAUUCUAGUUCAUGCUGAUGAUUCCUGUUUGACUUGUUUAUUGUUAUUCUUGCCACUCUUCUAUUAAGGCCAGAUUUCUCGAGUACACGGUUACUAGUUGUCCUGUGGACAGAUUCUGUUCACCUCCAGAGUUACCAUGCGACUCCUGGAUGCUGCUUUAUCAAGUACAUCACAGUUUACUCAGGAUAUAUGUGACCUUUGACUUUGGUGAUAGAGGAAAUUAAUAUAAUGUACAACUAAAGAGGAUACCGAUAUUGUAUUUCAAGUAAGAGGUGUCUCUGUCGCUGGAGACAACCUGUCCAAACAUUCAUUUCUUCUACUCAAUUACAUUCCAGUGUCACUAAAAUAAAAUCUUAUCUACAUAUUGAGGGACAUGUUUGUUCACAGUCAGUUUUAAAACUUAAAACAGCGGUUCCCAUACUCAAGAAUGCCGCGGCCCACUUUGAAAUCUGAAAAUCUUUUGCGGCCCACACAAACUUUUUAAUCACAACUCUGAUCAAAACAUAAUGAUUAAAUGACCAUAAGAAUUUAACAGAUUAAAAUGUAUUAACCGACAAUGUAUGUUUUGUAUACCAUUUUCUCUGGAGCUCAUGUGCCGUGUUUUCCGCACAAUAAGGCGCAUAAGAUACUGCAGUCUUUGGCUCACUGUCAAGAUUCGAGAGCGCAAAUCAGGUUGAUGCGCACGAUGAGCAAAAGUC